rnacentral:rRNA from 1 species
GACGAACGCUGGCGGCGUGCUUAACACAUGCAAGUCGUACGGUAAGGCCCUUUCGGGGGUACACGAGUGGCGAACGGGUGAGUAACACGUGAGUAACCUGCCCACAACUUUGGGAUAACGCUAGGAAACUAGUGCUAAUACUGGAUAUGUGCUCCUGCUGCAUGGUGGGGGUUGGAAAGCUCCGGCGGUUGUGGAUGGACUCGCGGCCUAUCAGCUUGUUGGUGGGGUAGUGGCCUACCAAGGCGGCGACGGGUAGCCGGCCUGAGAGGGUGACCGGCCACAUUGGGACUGAGAUACGGCCCAGACUCCUACGGGAGGCAGCAGUGGGGAAUAUUGCACAAUGGGCGCAAGCCUGAUGCGGCAACGCCGCGUGCGGGAUGACGGCCUUCGGGUUGUAAACCGCUUUCAGCAGGGACGAAGCUUUUUGUGACGGUACCUGCAGAAGAAGCACCGGCUAACUACGUG